rnacentral:rRNA from 1 species
GGCCUAUCACAUGCAAGUCGAGCGGUAACAGAAAGUAGCUUGCUACUUUGCUGACGAGCGGCGGACGGGUGAGUAAUGCUUGGGAACAUGCCUUGAGGUGGGGGACAACAGUUGGAAACGACUGCUAAUACCGCAUAAUGUCUACGGACCAAAGGGGGCUUCGGCUCUCGCCUUUAGAUUGGCCCAAGUGGGAUUAGCUAGUUGGUGAGGUAAUGGCUCACCAAGGCAACGAUCCCUAGCUGGUUUGAGAGGAUGAUCAGCCACACUGGAACUGAGACACGGUCCAGACUCCUACGGGAGGCAGCAGUGGGGAAUAUUGCACAAUGGGCGAAAGCCUGAUGCAGCCAUGCCGCGUGUGUGAAGAAGGCCUUCGGGUUGUAAAGCACUUUCAGUCAGGAGGAAAGGGUGUGAGUUAAUACCUCACAUCUGUGACGUUACUGACAGAAGAAGCACCGGCUAACUCCGUGCCAGCAGCCGCGGUAAUACGGAGGGUGCGAGCGUUAAUCGGAAUUACUGGGCGUAAAGCGUACGCAGGCGGUUUGUUAAGCGAGAUGUGAAAGCCCCGGGCUCAACCUGGGAACUGCAUUUCGAACUGGCAAACUAGAGUGUGAUAGAGGGUGGUAGAAUUUCAGGUGUAGCGGUGAAAUGCGUAGAGAUCUGAAG